rnacentral:rRNA from 1 species
GACGAACGCUGGCGGCGUGCUUAACACAUGCAAGUCGAACGGUGAAGCGCCUUCCUUUUUGGUGGGUGUGGAUGAGUGGCGAACGGGUGAGUAACACGUGAGUAACCUGCCCCCUUCUUCUGGAUAACCGCAUGAAAGUGUGGCUAAUACGGGAUAUUCUGGGUCUGUCGCAUGAUGGGUCUGGGAAAGAUAUUGUUUCGGUGGGGGAUGGGCUCGCGGCCUACCAGCUUGUUGGUGGGGUGAUGGCCUACCAAGGCGGUGACGGGUAGCCGGCCUGAGAGGGUGGACGGUCACACUGGGACUGAGACACGGCCCAGACUCCUACGGGAGGCAGCAGUGGGGAAUAUUGCACAAUGGGCGCAAGCCUGAUGCAGCGACGCCGCGUGAGGGAUGGAGGCCUUCGGGUUGUGAACCUCUUUCGCCAGUGAAGCAGGCCUGCCUCGUUUGUGGGUGGGUUGACGGUAGCUGGAUAAGAAGCGCCGGCUAACUACGUG